AUGAUAAGGUUUUUCAUAGCAUGGGUUUACGGAUUUAUUUUUGGUUGCACGAAUCUUCUAGGAUGUACCCUACCUGAGCACACUCUCAUCUAGGUGUUGAAUAUUUGAAUUAGACUCGAAAAACUUAGAAAUUUAACUUGAUUCAGAUUAUAGAACUCGAUUUGGUUUUUGAAUUUUCCAAUUGAUUUACAUUCAAUACGAACUUAUAUUUCGAACCAAAAUCGAAUUUUAUAAUUUUUGUUUAGAUUCUAACUUAGAUUUUCAAUUUUGAACGGAAAUCGAAUUAUGAUUUUUUGGCUCAAUGCAAAAUUCGAAUUCAAAUUAAAUAGUUUUUAUUAUAAUUUUUGAAUAAUAUAAGUUUUUUUAAUUGAAUUAUAUCUUUUUUUAUUAAUUUGAAUCGAAUCAACACGAAUUGAAUUAAUUUCUAAUUCAAAUUGCCUUGAUGAAUUUUAUUUGAAUUCAGCUUAAAAUCCAUAAUUCAAAUAACUCGAUUAACUUGGAAUUCGAGUCCCAUAGACAACAGUGAAUAAAAGAAAUUUGC
rnacentral:lncRNA from 1 species